GCCAUUCUAGGCCAAGGGGUCACAGUCCACCCUGAACUGUGCCUCCCAGCCUGGAGCCAGAAAGCUCAGGGAGGCUAGAGGCCCUGCCCAGACCUCAGCACUGACCCUGCACCCCUAGGCCCAGCUGGAUGACCCCUAAGGGCUUUCUGGAAUUUGGAUGCAGGGUUAUUCUGUGUGUGCUGCCUCUCAGAGCAUGUCACUUUGACGUGGACAUCUCGGGUCUGGUUCUGGUGCUGUCCCUGUCUCGCCAUGUGACCCUGGGUAAGUCAUCUCUCCAGGCCUUGAUUUCCCCAUCUGUAAACAGAGGAACCCAAGGAAUGAGUGGGCUCUAACUGCUGCAGCAUAUGGGAGAUGCCAGGAGGAGCUGGCUGUGGCAGGCCAUUCCAGGCCAUCAGACAACUUGUAGUGGAUGAAGAUACAAUGUCUAUGGCCAGAAGAAACUCCCAUGGAUGCUCAGGCCAAGGCUGCCAGAAGCACGAGGAGGGGCAGCAUUGAGUGUCAUCGGGCAGAGGCAAGGUGAUGGUCCUGAAGCUGCCCCAUGUGGCCAGUCCCUUUUUGGGAAGCCUGAAUAAAUCCAUUUCCUGUGCACUGUGUGGGAAGCCAACCCCUCUUCAGAGCACCUCUGAACUCAACAGGAUCCUACACUUCUUAUAGGCCUGGCUUGAUGCUGACAUCCUUCAGCCCCAGGGAAUAAAGAUCUCCAGGUCUCGAGGCACCUGGAACACCUCCAUCUGAGACCACUUUAACAUGAUUUCUCUGCUUGAGGGAUUUUGGACCACGCUGUGUGUAUUCAGCCCUAAAACAUGCGUGGGUGCCUGCUUGCAGUUCAGAUUCUCAGAGGAAGUUCCCUGUACUCCACCCAGUGCCAAGUUUAAUUUGUGCAAAUUUCCUUAAUGUCCCCUCCUGUACAACAGGUUUAUUUGGUGUUAACCCUCACAUCGGGGGUCUAACUCUUCGGUUUUCCAGUUUUUUGCUGGAAUACCCCAUUAAACUGUCCAUAUUGGGUAUUUUUUCUUUCUUAGUAAACAUUUGGUGCAUCUUAGAGUUGAUAGCAUUUUAGAUUUGAAGAAAUAACUGACAAAAUCAAUAUCAUCUGUUUCAUCAUUA
rnacentral:antisense_RNA from 1 species